rnacentral:lncRNA from 1 species
GCAAUCUGCUGGAUUGACAGCUCCUUUCAAAACAAACAUCUCACAUUUGGAAAGAUUUAAUGCCAAACCUGAGAUUUUGGAGAACUGCUUCACGAUAUCCAUGUAGUAAAUUAACGUCACCAGGUGUGGAGGUGUAACCAGGGUGUAGUGAUGUAGUAAAUUAUUGUCACCAGGUGUGGAGGUGUAACCAGGGUGUAGUGAUGUAGUAAAUUAAUGUCACCAGGUGUGGAGGUGUAACCAGGGUGUAGUGAUGUAGUAAAUUAAUGUCACCAGGUGUGGAGGUGUAACCAGGGUGUAGUGAUGUAGUAAAUUAAUGUCACCAGGUGUAGAGGUGUAAGCAGGGUGUAGUGAUGUAGUAAAUUAAUGCCACCAGGUGGGGAGGUGUAAGCAGGGUGUAGUGAUGUAGUAAAUUAAUGUCACCAGGUGUGGUGGUGUAACCAGGGUGUAGUGAUGUAGUAAAUGAAUGUCACCAGGUGUGGUGGUGUAACCAGG